rnacentral:tRNA from 1 species
GGAGAGGUGCAAGAGUGGUUGAAUUGGCACGCCUGGAAAGUGUGUAGGCGAGCAAUCGCCUCGAGGGUUCGAAUCCCUCUCUCUCCGCCA